UGUCUGUCUGCUACAGUAAUGAUCGUCUCCCAUGAGGACCCUGAGUUGUACUAUUUUACUGUAUAUUCAGUAGCUAUAGCAACACUACUUAUAGGACCCCGUGUUGUACUAUUUUACUGUAUAUUCAGUAGCUAUAGCAACACUACUUAUAGGACCCCGUGUUGUACUAUUUACUGUAUAUUCAGUAGCUAUAGCAACACUACUUAUAGGACCCCGUGUUGUACUAUUUUACUGUAUAUUCAGUAGCUAUAGCAACACUACUUAUAGGACUGUGUUGUACUAUUUUACUGUAUAUUCAGUAGCUAUAGCAACACUACUUAUAGGACUGUGUGUUGUACUAUUUUACUGUAUAUUCAGUAGCUAUAGCAACACUACUUAUAGGACUGUGUGUUGUACUAUUUUACUGUAUAUUCAGUAGCUAUAGUAACACUACUUAUAGGACUGUGUGUUGUACUAUUUUACUGUAUAUUCAGUAGCUAUAGCAACACUACUUAUAGGACUGUGUGUUGUACUAUUUUACUGUAUAUUCAGUAGCUAUAGCAACACUACUUAUAGGACUGUGUGUUGUACUAUUUUACUGUAUAUUCAGUAGCUAUAGCAACACUACUUAUAGGACUGUGUGUUGUACUAUUUUACUGUAUAUUCAGUAGCUAUAGCAACACUACUUUUAGGACCCCGUGUUGUACUAUUUUACUGUAUAUUCAGUAGCUAUAGUAACAUUAUAGUUUUUUUUACUGUUGUACUAUUUUACUGUAUAUUCAGUAGCUAUAGCAACACUACUUAUAGGACUGUGUGUUGUACUAUUUUACUGUAUAUUCAGUAGCUAUAGCAACACUACUUAUAGGACCCCGUGUUGUACUAUUUUACUGUAUAUUCAGUAGCUAUAGCAACACUACUUAUAGGACUGUGUGUUGUACUAUUUUACUGUAUAUUCAGUAGCUAUAGUAACACUACUUAUAGGAUUGUGUGUUGUACUAUUUUACUGUAUAUUCAGUAGCUAUAGCAACACUACUUAUAGGACUGUGUGUUGUACUAUUUUACUGUAUAUUCAGUAGCUAUAGUAACAUUAUAGUUUGUUUUACUGUUGUACUAUUUUACUGUAUAUUCAGUAGCUAUAGCAACACUACUUAUAGGACCCCGUGUUGUACUAUUUUACUGUAUAUUCAGUAGCUAUAGCAACACUACUUAUAGGACUGUGUUGUACUAUUUUACUGUAUAUUCAGUAGCUAUAGCAACACUACUUUUAGGACUGUGUGUUGUACUAUUUUACUGUAUAUUCAGUAGCUAUAGCAACACUACUUAUAGGACUGUGUGUUGUACUAUUUUACUGUAUAUUCAGUAGCUAUAGUAACACUACUUAUAGGACUGUGUGUUGUACUAUUUUACUGUAUAUUCAGUAGCUAUAGCAACACUACUUAUAGGACUGUGUGUUGUACUAUUUUACUGUAUAUUCAGUAGCUAUAGCAACACUACUUAUAGGACUGUGUGUUGUACUAUUUUACUGUAUAUUCAGUAGCUAUAGCAACACUACUUAUAGGACUGUGUGUUGUACUAUUUUACUGUAUAUUCAGUAGCUAUAGCAACACUACUUUUAGGACCCCGUGUUGUACUAUUUUACUGUAUAUUCAGUAGCUAUAGUAACAUUAUAGUUUUUUUUACUGUUGUACUAUUUUACUGUAUAUUCAGUAGCUAUAGCAACACUACUUAUAGGACUGUGUGUUGUACUAUUUUACUGUAUAUUCAGUAGCUAUAGCAACACUACUUAUAGGACCCCGUGUUGUACUAUUUUACUGUAUAUUCAGUAGCUAUAGCAACACUACUUAUAGGACUGUGUGUUGUACUAUUUUACUGUAUAUUCAGUAGCUAUAGCAACACUACUUAUAGGAC
rnacentral:lncRNA from 1 species